rnacentral:rRNA from 1 species
GCACAAGUGGUGGAGCAUGUGGUUUAAUUCGAAGAUACACGAAGAACCUUACCUGGCCUUGACAUGGUAGGAACCCUGUAGAGAUACGGGGUGCUAGCUUGCUAGAGCCUACACACAGGUGCUGCACGGCUGUCGUCAGCUCGUGUCGUGAGAUGUUGGGUUAAGUCCCGCAACGAGCGCAACCCUCGUCCUUAGUUGCUAACGGUUCGGCCGAGCACUCUAGGGAGACUGCCUUCGCAAGGAGGAGGAAGGUGAGGACGACGUCAAGUCAUCAUGGCCCUUACGGCCAGGGCUACACACGUGCUACAAUGGGGCGUACAGAGAGCUGCGAUACCGCGAGGUGGAGCCAAUCUCUUAAAGCCAAUCUCAGUUCGGAUUGUAGGCUGCAACUCGCCUACAUGAAGUCGGAAUCGCUAGUAAUCGCGGAUCAGCACGCCGCGGUGAAUACGUUCCCGGGCCUU